CGAAAACGAAUUCUCUCUUGAGUGGAUCCUGAGUACGACGGAGCACGUGAAAUUCCGUCGGAAUCUGGGAGGACCAUCUCCUAAGGCUAAAUACUCUCUAGUGACCGAUAGUGAACCAGUACCGUGAGGGAAAGGUGAAAAGUACCCCGGAAGGGGAGUGAAAGAGAACUUGAAACCGUGUGCUUACAAGUAGUCAGAGCCCGUUAAUGGGUGAUGGCGUGCCUUUUGUAGAAUGAACCGGCGAGUUACGAUCUGAUGCAAGGUUAAGCAGAAAAUGUGGAGCCGUAGCGAAAGCGAGUCUGAAUAGGGCGAAUGAGUAUUUGGUCGUAGACCCGAAACCAGGUGAUCUACCCUUGGUCAGGUUGAAGUUCAGGUAACACUGAAUGGAGGACCGAACCGACUUACGUUGAAAAGUGAGCGGAUGAACUGAGGGUAGCGGAGAAAUUCCAAUCGAACUUGGAGAUAGCUGGUUCUCUCCGAAAUAGCUUUAGGGCUAGCCUCAAGUGAUGAUUAUUGGAGGUAGAGCACUGUUUGGACGAGGGGCCCCUCUCGGGUUACCGAAUUCAGACAAACUCCGAAUGCCAAAUAAUUUAACUUGGGAGUCAGAAUGUGGGUGAUAAGGUCCAUAUUCGAAAGGGAAACAGCCCAGACCACCAGCUAAGGUCCCAAAAUAUAUGUUAAGUGGAAAAGGAUGUGGCGUUGCCCAGACAACUA
rnacentral:rRNA from 1 species